rnacentral:lncRNA from 1 species
CUGGACCUUACCUUCCUCCUAAUCCUGAUGAAGAGCCUUCUACUAGUCCGGAUUUUAGGGAACACCGUGCUAUUUAUGGUCCAAAGAGGCCUCCAUCGUUGCAAUCAUAUGAAUCUUCUAAGGAGAUACUUGAAGGAAAAUGGAAAAAGAGGCAGUCAUAUGAAUCUUCUGAGGAGGAGCUACAUGAAAAAAAACGGAAAAUGAGGCAGUCAUAUGAAUCUUCUGAGGAGGAGCUACAUGAAAAAAAACGGAAAAAGAGGCAGUCAUAUGAAUCUUCUGAGGAUGGGCUACAUGAAGAAAAACGGAAAAAGAGGCAGUCAUAUGAAUCUUCUGAGGAUGAGCUACAUGAAGAGAAACGGAAAAAGAGUAAAAAAUCUCAUCAUAAAAGCCACUCGGACAAGGUGCAUUCUAAGAAGCACAGGUCCAAAGAGAAAUCUAAGCAUAAGAAAAGGAGAAGGGAGGAGAAAACAAGUAAACAUCGACGCUAAGGCUAUUCCGCAAUCCGAUAUAUUCUCAGAGGUUGUUAUAACUAAUAACCUGCUGAAACAGUUGAUUGGGAUGAAACUAAUGUUUUGUACUUUGUACAAAUGUAUU